rnacentral:lncRNA from 1 species
AAUUUUGUUCUUUUUGUCUCUUUUGUUUUUGUUUUGGACAUAUAGAUAUCUUGUUUUUGUUGUGGUUGGAUGGUUUGAUGUUUUUUUUUUCAUUUUCUUUGGGGGAAUUGACUUUUUCUUUGUGCUCGUCUUUUGGUUGAUUACAGCGACACCUGUCAAUCCAUUUGAAUCGGAGCUUAUGUAGAUAAUUGUUUCAAUUAUU